UAGAGUUGUGAAGGAAGAUGCCAUGGCGACACCGGAUUUCAUGAGGUGCAAAGAAGAAACAAGGACGUCAAUUGUGUAAGAACAACAACAUAUCUUUCAUCUAACCUAUUUUAUCAUGAUGAUUUGAGUGAAUUUCAUUUCCGAAUUUUGUAUUAAUGAUUUGAUAUGUUAGGUCCUCACACCUGGAAUACCUAAAGUUGUACCACAAACUUUUUAAAUUUCUAGAAAUCAAAUGAAACACAUGACUUUGCAAAAAUGUCUA
rnacentral:lncRNA from 1 species